rnacentral:rRNA from 1 species
UACAGAGGAUGCAAGCGUUAUCCGGAAUGAUUGGGCGUAAAGCGUCUGUAGGUGGCUUUUUAAGUCCGCCGUCAAAUCCCAGGGCUCAACUCUGGACAGGCGGUGGAAACUACCAAGCUGGAGUACGGUAGGGGCAGAGGGAAUUUCCGGUGGAGCGGUGAAAUGCGUAGAGAUCCGGAAGAACACCGGUGGCGAAGGCGGCCCGCUGGGACAUGGCUGACGCUGAGGCGCGAAAGCGUGGGGAGCAAACAGG